rnacentral:rRNA from 1 species
GUCUGUUCUGACGCUGAGGUACGAAAGCGUGGGUAGCGAACGGGAUUAGAUACCCCGGUAGUCCACGCCGUAAACGAUGUGCACUAGGUCGAGGGCGUUCUGACGCGACUCUCGGCCGAAGCGAAAGUGUUAAGUGCACCGCCUGGGGAGUACGGUCGCAAGGCUAAAACUCAAAGGAAUUGACGGGGGCUCACACAAGCGGUGGAGCAUGUGGCUUAAUUCGAAGCAACGCGAAGAACCUUAUCCUAGGUUUGACAUACACGGAUUAGCUAUAAGAAACUAUAGUGACACCUUCGGGUGGAACGUGAACAGGUGCUGCAUGGCUGUCGUCAGCUCGUGCUGUGAAGUGUCGGGUUAAGUCCCUUAACGAGCGCAACCCUUAUCGUUAGUUGCUAACAGGUAAUGCUGAGGACUCUAGCGAGACUGCCGGUGUUAAACCGGAGGAAGGUGGGGAUGACGUCAAGUCCGCAUGGCCUUUAUGCCUAGGGCUGCACACGUGCUACAAUGGCAAGUACAGAACGAUGCAAUACCGCGAGGUGGAGCAAAUCGCUAAAGCUUGCCCCAGUUCGGAUUGCAGGCUGCAACUCGCCUGCAUGAAGUGGAAUCGCUAGUAAUCGCGGA